rnacentral:rRNA from 1 species
CGGGGGGGGGGGGGCCUAAUACAUGCAAGUCGAACGCUUUGUGGUUCAACUGAUUUGAAGAGCUUGCUCAGAUAUGACGAUGGACAUUGCAAAGAGUGGCGAACGGGUGAGUAACACGUGGGAAACCUACCUCUUAGCAGGGGAUAACAUUUGGAAACAGAUGCUAAUACCGUAUAACAAUGACAACCGCAUGGUUGUUAUUUAAAAGAUGGUUCUGCUAUCACUAAGAGAUGGUCCCGCGGUGCAUUAGCUAGUUGGUAAGGUAAUGGCUUACCAAGGCGAUGAUGCAUAGCCGAGUUGAGAGACUGAUCGGCCACAAUGGGACUGAGACACGGCCCAUACUCCUACGGGAGGCAGCAGUAGGGAAUCUUCCACAAUGGGCGAAAGCCUGAUGGAGCAACGCCGCGUGUGUGAUGAAGGGUUUCGGCUCGUAAAACACUGUUGUAAGAGAAGAAUGACAUUGAGAGUAACUGUUCAAUGUGUGACGGUAUCUUACCAGAAAGGAACGGCUAAAUACGUGCCAGCAGCCGCGGUAAUACGUAUGUUCCAAGCGUUAUCCGGAUUUAUUGGGCGUAAAGCGAGCGCAGACGGUUAUUUAAGUCUGAAGUGAAAGCCCUCAGCUCAACUGAGGAAUUGCUUUGGAAACUGGAUGACUUGAGUGCAGUAGAGGAAAGUGGAACUCCAUGUGUAGCGGUGAAAUGCGUAGAUAUAUGGAAGAACACCAGUGGCGAAGGCGGCUUUCUGGACUGUAACUGACGUUGAGGCUCGAAAGUGUGGGUAGCAAACAGGAUUAGAUACCCUGGUAGUCCACACCGUAAACGAUGAGUGCUAGGUGUUUGAGGGUUUCCGCCCUUAAGUGCCGCAGCUAACGCAUUAAGCACUCCGCCUGGGGAGUACGACCGCAAGGUUGAAACUCAAAGGAAUUGACGGGGACCCGCACAAGCGGUGGAGCAUGUGGUUUAAUUCGAAGCAACGCGAAGAACCUUACCAGGUCUUGACAUCCCUUGACAACUCCAGAGAUGGAGCGUUCCCUUCGGGGACAAGGUGACAGGUGGUGCAUGGUUGUCGUCAGCUCGUGUCGUGAGAUGUUGGGUUAAGUCCCGCAACGAGCGCAACCCUUAUUACUAGUUGCCAGCAUUCAGUUGGGCACUCUAGUGAGACUGCCGGUGACAAACCGGAGGAAGGUGGGGAUGACGUCAAAUCAUCAUGCCCCUUAUGACCUGGGCUACACACGUGCUACAAUGGCGUAUACAACGAGUUGCCAACCCGCGAGGGUGAGCUAAUCUCUUAAAGUACGUCUCAGUUCGGAUUGUAGGCUGCAACUCGCCUACAUGAAGUCGGAAUCGCUAGUAAUCGCGGAUCAGCACGCCGCGGUGAAUACGUUCCCGGGUCUUGUACACACCGCCCGUCACACCAUGAGAGUUUGUAACACCCAAAGCCGGUGGGGUAACCUUCGGGAGCCAGCCGUCUAAGGGGACAGU